CGUGUAGGCGGUAUGGUAAGUCAGAUGUGAAAGCCCUGGGCUUAACCCAGGAAGUGCAUUUGAUACUGCCAUUCUUGAGUAUGGGAGAGUAGAGUGGAAUUCCCAGUGUAGAGGUGAAAUUCGUAGAUAUUGGGAGGAACACCCGUGGCGAAGGCGACUCUCUGGACCAAUACUGACGCUGAGACGCGAAAGCGUGGGGAGCAAACA
rnacentral:rRNA from 1 species